GCGAAAACACAAGCCUCCUUCCAACAACAAUGGCUCACCUCAAGAACUUGGCCGUGUUGGUGUGCGUGAUACUGGCCUCGCUCGCGUUCGCUGUGCAGGCCGUGCUGGCCGCCAGAGGCCUCGCCCCAGCCACCGGUGUUUUUAGCAGCAUGUACACGGGUAAUGCGCCUGUUAAACCCCAUUGUGACAACGAUGAUGAUUACUGUUUGAGUGGCAAACCUGCACACUAGACUACGAGAAGACAGGCCGCCCGGGAACCUGAAUGAGUUAGCUACUGAACACUCGUUGUUGAUAUAAGCAUAAUCAUAAGUGAUUAUCUAUCGUUGUGUUUCUCUUUUCGAAUAAACGCCACGGAGCAGCAUGUCUGCUUGUGGCGCGUGAUUAUCUACAAUAGCAGGAGAAGAAAGGACGUGCCGUGUUUACGCGGCAUAAAUCUCUUUGUCCGUAUGUUACAUGUUGUCCCUUGUAAGAAUUAAUAUGUGCUUAAAGUGUCCGCGUGAGUUUUGAUCUGGUUU